rnacentral:rRNA from 1 species
CUACGGGCUGCUCCAGUGGGGAAUAUUGCACAAUGGGCGCAAGCCUGAUGCAGCCAUGCCGCGUGUAUGAAGAAGGCCUUCGGGUUGUAAAGUACUUUCAGCGGGGAGGAAGGGAGUAAAGUUAAUACCUUUGCUCAUUGACGUUACCCGCAGAAGAAGCACCGGCUAACUCCGUGCCAGCAGCCGCGGUAAUACGGAGUGUGCAAGCGUUAAUCGGAAUUACUGGGCGUAAAGCGCACGCAGGCGGUUUGUUAAGUCAGAUGUGAAAUCCCCGGGCUCAACCUGGGAACUGCAUCUGAUACUGGCAAGCUUGAGUCUCGUAGAGGGGGGUAGAAUUCCAGGUGUAGCGGUGAAAUGCGUAGAGAUCUGGAGGAAUACCGGUGGCGAAGGCGGCCCCCUGGACGAAGACUGACGCUCAGGUGCGAAAGCGUGGGGAGCAAACAGGAUUAGAUACCCGUGUAGUC